rnacentral:lncRNA from 1 species
GGUAGAGACCUUCUCUAUUUAUAGAUGAUUCUCAUUACCCAAUGAGAGUAGAACUCUUAACUCAAAUCUGAUUUGAAUUGAUCCAAUACUCAUGAAAGAAGGAUUUCUACAUGAGAUGAAUUGCCAUCACAUAUAAUAAUCAACUUGCACCCACUCCCUCACCCACAUAGGAUGCCCCAAACUAGACCCAUAUUAGGUGUUUGUCAGCCCAC